rnacentral:lncRNA from 1 species
CUGUAAUCCCAACACUUUGGGAGGCUGGGAGAUUGAAGCAAAGACGUGAAAGGAGUAAGAAAGUAAACUGUGUGGAUAGUGAGGAAAGAGGAUUCUAGGCUGAGGAAACAGGAAGUACAGAGACCCAAAGGAGCUUACUUGAGAUAUUUGAGUAACAGCAGAUAAGCCAGUGUAGCUGGAGCAGAAAGAUUAGAAAUAGAGUCCAAGGAAGGCCGGGCGCGGUGGCUC